rnacentral:tRNA from 1 species
GGAGGGGUACCCAAGCGGCCAAAGGGGGCAGACUGUAAAUCUGCUGGCUUUAGGCCUUCGGUGGUUCGAAUCCACCCCCCUCCA